AGUGAACGCUGGCGGUAGGCCUAACACAUGCAAGUCGAACGGCAGCACAGUAAGAGCUUGCUCUUACGGGUGGCGAGUGGCGGACGGGUGAGGAAUACAUCGGAAUCUACUUUUUCGUGGGGGAUAACGUAGGGAAACUUACGCUAAUACCGCAUACGACUUACGGGUGAAAGCAGGGGAUCUUCGGACCUUGCGCGAUUGAAUGAGCCGAUGUCGGAUUAGCUAGUUGGCGGGGUAAAGGCCCACCAAGGCGACGAUCCGUAGCUGGUCUGAGAGGAUGAUCAGCCACACUGGAACUGAGACACGGUCCAGACUCCUACGGGAGGCAGCAGUGGGGAAUAUUGGACAAUGGGCGCAAGCCUGAUCCAGCCAUACCGCGUGGGUGAAGAAGGCCUUCGGGUUGUAAAGCCCUUUUGUUGGGAAAAAAAAGCAGCAGGUUAAUACCCCGCUGUUCUGACGGUACCCAAAGAAUAAGCACCGGCUAACUUCGUG
rnacentral:rRNA from 1 species